GUAACACGUGGGCAACCUGCCCCUUAGACUGGGAUAACAUCGAGAAAUCGGUGCUAAUACUGGAUAAUAAAUGAAACUGCAUAGUUUCAUUUUAAAAGAUGGCAUCACGCUAUCACUAGGGGAUGGGCCCGCGGCGCAUUAGCUAGUUGGUAAGGUAAUGGCUUACCAAGGCGACGAUGCGUAGCCGACCUGAGAGGGUGAUCGGCCACACUGGGACUGAGACACGGCCCAGACUCCUACGGGAGGCAGCAGUAGGGAAUCUUCCGCAAUGGACGAAAGUCUGACGGAGCAACGCCGCGUGAGUGAUGAAGGAUUUCGGUUCGUAAAGCUCUGUUGUUAGGGAAGAACACGUGCCGUUCGAAUAGGGCGGCACCUUGACGGUACCUAACCAGAAAGCCACGGCUA
rnacentral:rRNA from 1 species